UGUAAAGCCUGAAACCUCCAGGGAAAGGCAUGGAGGUUUGAGGCAUGAAGACUUUAAACAGCCAAAUUAUGUCUUGGGCACAGAUUCCAUUAUUUAGCGGUAACGUGUUUGUCUAGCUUUCUGUGAAAAGACUUGUGUCACUUUGAGAGAGCUACAGAUGUGAUCAGUGGAACUCUGUCCCCAGGGAGUCAAGCUUGAAAGAAAG